AUUGAACGCUGGCGGCAGGCCUAACACAUGCAAGUCGAGCGGAUGAGAAGAGCUUGCUCUUCGAUUCAGCGGCGGACGGGUGAGUAAUGCCUAGGAAUCUGCCUGGUAGUGGGGGACAACGUUUCGAAAGGAACGCUAAUACCGCAUACGUCCUACGGGAGAAAGCAGGGGACCUUCGGGCCUUGCGCUAUCAGAUGAGCCUAGGUCGGAUUAGCUAGUUGGUGAGGUAAUGGCUCACCAAGGCGACGAUCCGUAACUGGUCUGAGAGGAUGAUCAAUCACACUGUGAGUGAGACACGGUCCAGAGGCCUACGGGAGGCAGAGGGGGGGAAUAUUGGACAAUGGGCGAAGGCCUGAUCCAGCCAGGCCGCGUGUGUGAAGAAGGUCUUCGGAUUGUACAGCACUUUAAGUUGGGAGGAAGGGCAGUAAGUUAAUACCUUGCUGUUUUGACGUUACCGACAGAAUAAGCACCGGCUAACUCUGUGCCAGCAGCCGCAGUAAAAC
rnacentral:rRNA from 1 species